AGUGAACGCUGGCGGUAGGCCUAACACAUGCAAGUCGAACGGCAGCACAGUAAGAGCUUGCUCUUACGGGUGGCGAGUGGCGGACGGGUGAGGAAUACAUCGGAAUCUACUUUUUCGGGGGGGAUAACGUAGGGAAACUUACGCUAAUACCGCAUACGACCUACGGGUGAAAGCAGGGGAUCUUCGGACCUUUCGCGAUUGAAUGAGCCGAUGUCGGAUUAGCUAGUUGGCGGGGUAAAGGCACACCAAGGCGACGAUGCGUAGCUGGUCUGAGAGGAUGAUCAGCCACACUGGAACUGAGACACGGUCCAGACUCCUACGGGAGGCAGCAGUGGGGAAUAUUGGACAAUGGGCGCAAGCCUGAUCCAGCCAUACCGCGUGGGUGAAGAAGGCCUUCGGGUUGUAAAGCCCUUUUGUUGGGAAAGAAAAGCAGCAGGUUAAUACCCCGCUGUUUUGACGGUACCCAAAGAAUAAGCACCGGCUAACUUCGUG
rnacentral:rRNA from 1 species